rnacentral:misc_RNA from 1 species
ACAUUGAUCUGAAGCACGAGACAGCGCAUUGAGACACGUCAAUGAUGAAAUUUAAGUGAACGACCAAGAAGUUUGACUGUCUUAAUCAGAUAUCCAUUCGUGGCGAACGGAAACGUCAACAGCUACUGCAACACAGGACACGUGAGUUUGCAUGAUUAGGGAAAUGAUAGGGAUUGUAAGAAGAUAGAGAGAAAGUUAAAGUGAUACGUUUUCUUCCGUCUCACACUCCAUGCAUUGACAUAUACAUUUAUACGGCGAAUGGAGAAAACCCCAGCCCCAGUAAAUUCAGGAUACGUUUUACAAAGUAAGUGGUUACGACAAAGCUCGAAUAUGACGAAUAUAGCAGACAGGGAUAUAGCGAAUCAACAGUUAUAUAUAGGCUAUUUAGCGAAUUUACAGCUAUAUAUAUCGAAGUAAUUUUGAGACCCCCGCUGGCAUAAUUUUAACGCGUCAUUUAUAAAAUGAGUAAUUUCAUUUACAAAUUUGAUUAAAAAACAUUUAUGUUUAAAGGUGCAUGGUCACGAUUUUGGUCAAAAAUGUUCCUGAUCUUAAUGUUCACUAUGCUUCAUUAAAGCAUUUUUAAUAGUCAACCAAAAUUUGAGUGUCAUUCGUUGAGUUAUAAGCGAGUUACAGAGCUUGCAAUUCUUUGAUAUGAAAACAAAGCUUUGGUUUAUAUUUUGAAUGUUGAAGUAAAAACUUCAGUUUUAGACCUAAUAUUCAUGUGUUAAACGUUAGGAUCUGUUUAUUUGUGCUUAAAAUUAAAAAAUAGACAGACAAAUCAACUUGAAAAAGAUUUUUUACUGGUGUAUUGAACCUAUGUAAAUAAAAACAGGGCACGGACCUUGUUUACAUGACAAAGAAUUGUGAGCCCUGUAUCUUGCUUAUAACUCUACGACCGGCUCUCAAACUUCAAUUGAUCAUCAGAAAUGAAUUCCUAAAGCAUUGUUACAGUUUGUUUAUGUACACGUGUCAUCCUGUCUUGCAUACCGUGCAAGGACAUGGAACUCACUUUUACAUCAUGCAACAUGUGUAUCUUAGCUAGCGGCGUGGAUGCUAUCUUCUACGGUACACUAACCUAGCUAGCCCUUAAGGAGGGUGAAUGGUCAGCAAACUACAUGUAGUUAUCAGAUCUACCCACGGAUUGUAGAUACGAAUGUUUCAGCCAUAACCUCUUAUUAAGUAAUAACAGGGAUAUUCUUAAUAUUUGAUCUUCACUGUUGAUAAUAUACUGUAUGUACAGGGAAAUAUUCGCCCCCGUUUUUUUUUCGCCCCUUUCGCUCUUGUUGUCAGCGGGCAAAUUUAAGACUGGGCGACUUCCAAUGUUCCAAGCUAUUUCUUUAGUACACAAACGAGUCUGGGCAUAUUCAAGACGGGAUGAAACCAUUUGCAAGUGUAGAAGGGCAAAAAUAACACGGGGCAAAAAAUAACCCUUUAUACAGUAAGUAUUUUAUGUUGACACAAAGCUCUUCUUCUUAAAAAGAUUAAUAUAUAUUGUCUAAAAUAUUUUAACAAGUAAAAAGAAGUAGCUUUUAUUAUUUCUGCUUGAUUUC